rnacentral:tRNA from 1 species
GGAUAUAGCUCAAGUGGUAGAGCACAUGCUUAGCAUGCAGGAGGUCCUGGAUUUAAUCCCCAGUACAUCCA